rnacentral:rRNA from 1 species
UACGAAGGGGGCUAGCGUUGCUCGGAAUCACUGGGCGUAAAGGGUGCGCAGGCGGUCGGGUGUGUCAGAUGUGAAAUCCCGAGGCUCAACCUCGGAACUGCGUCUGAAACUACUCGACUAGAGUACUGGAGAGGGUAACGGAAUUCACGGUGUAGCAGUGAAAUGCGUAGAUAUCGUGAGGAACACCAGAGGCGAAGGCGGUUACCUGGACAGUUACUGACGCUCAGGCACGAAAGCAUGGGGAGCAAAAGGG